GGUUAUUUGAUUGGCUCGUGAAUAAGAUAAAUAAUUCAAUAGGGCAAGAUCCUGAUUCAAAGGUUUUGAUUGGGGUGUUGGAUAUUUAUGGUUUUGAAAGUUUCAAGAUGAACAUCUUUGAACAAUUCUGCAUCAAUUUGACACAUGAAAA